AGAGUUUGAUCAUGGCUCAGAUUGAACGCUGGCGGCAGGCCUAACACAUGCAAGUCGAACGGUAACAUUUCUAGCUUGCUAGAAGAUGACGAGUGGCGGACGGGUGGGUAAUACUUGGGAACUUGCCUUUGCGAGGGGGAUAACAGUUGGAAACGACUGCUAAUACCGCAUAAUGUCUACGGACCAAACGGGGCUUUUAGCUCCGGCGCAAAGAGAGGCCCAAGUGAGAUUAGCUAGUUGGUAAGGUAAUGGCUUACCAAGGCAACGAUCUCUAGCUGUUCUGAGAGGAAGAUCAGCCACACUGGAACUGAGACACGGUCCAGACUCCUACGGGAGGCAGCAGUGGGGAAUAUUGCACAAUGGGGGAAACCCUGAUGCAGCCAUGCCGCGUGUGUGAAGAAGGCCUUCGGGUUGUAAAGCACUUUCAGUUGUGAGGAAAAGUUAGUAGUUAAUACCUGCUAGCCGUGACGUUAACAACAGAAGAAGCACCGGCUAACUCCGUGCCAGCAGCCGCGGUAAUACGGAGGGUGCGAGCGUUAAUCGGAAUUACUGGGCGUAAAGCGCACGCAGGCGGUUUGUUAAGCUAGAUGUGAAAGCCCCGGGCUCAACCUGGGAUAGUCAUUUAGAACUGGCAGACUAGAGUCUUGGAGAGGGGAGUGGAAUUCCAGGUGUAGCGGUGAAAUGCGUAGAUAUCUGGAGGAACAUCAGUGGCGAAGGCGACUCCCUGGCCAAAGACUGACGCUCAUGUGCGAA
rnacentral:rRNA from 1 species